rnacentral:rRNA from 1 species
UUCGACACACUAUCAUUAACUGAAUCCAUAGGUUAAUGAGGCGAACCGGGGGAACUGAAACAUCUAAGUACCCCGAGGAAAAGAAAUCAACCGAGAUUCCCCCAGUAGCGGCGAGCGAACGGGGAGCAGCCCAGAGCCUGAAUCAGUGUGUGUGUUAGUGGAAGCGUCUGGAAAGGCGCGCGAUACAGGGUGACAGCCCCGUACACAAAAAUGCACAUACUGUGAGCUCGAUGAGUAGGGCGGGACACGUGGUAUCCUGUCUGAAUAUGGGGGGACCAUCCUCCAAGGCUAAAUACUCCUGACUGACCGAUAGUGAACCAGUACCGUGAGGGAAAGGCGAAAAGAACCCCGGCGAGGGGAGUGAAAAAGAACCUGAAACCGUGUACGUACAAGCAGUGGGAGCACGCUUAGGCGUGUGACUGCGUACCUUUUGUAUAAUGGGUCAGCGACUUAUAUUCUGUAGCAAGGUUAACCGAAUAGGGGAGCCGAAGGGAAACCGAGUCUUAACUGGGCGUUAAGUUGCAGGGUAUAGACCCGAAACCCGGUGAUCUAGCCAUGGGCAGGUUGAAGGUUGGGUAACACUAACUGGAGGACCGAACCGACUAAUGUUGAAAAAUUAGCGGAUGACUUGUGGCUGGGGGUGAAAGGCCAAUCAAACCGGGAGAUAGCUGGUUCUCCCCGAAAGCUAUUUAGGUAGCGCCUCGUGAAUUCAUCUCCGGGGGUAGAGCACUGUUUCGGCAAGGGGGUCAUCCCGACUUACCAACCCGAUGCAAACUGCGAAUACCGGAGAAUGUUAUCACGGGAGACACACGGCGGGUGCUAACGUCCGUCGUGAAGAGGGAAACAACCCAGACCGCCAGCUAAGGUCCCAAAGUCAUGGUUAAGUGGGAAACGAUGUGGGAAGGCCCAGACAGCCAGGAUGUUGGCUUAGAAGCAGCCAUCAUUUAAAGAAAGCGUAAUAGCUCACUGGUCGAGUCGGCCUGCGCGGAAGAUGUAACGGGGCUAAACCAUGCACCGAAGCUGCGGCAGCGACGCUGAUGCGUUGUUGGGUAGGGGAGCGUUCUGUAAGCCUGUGAAGGUGUGCUGUGAGGCAUGCUGGAGGUAUCAGAAGUGCGAAUGCUGACAUAAGUAACGAUAAAGCGGGUGAAAAGCCCGCUCGCCGGAAGACCAAGGGUUCCUGUCCAACGUUAAUCGGGGCAGGGUGAGUCGACCCCUAAGGCGAGGCCGAAAGGCGUAGUCGAUGGGAAACAGGUUAAUAUU